CCUACGGGAGGCAGCAGUGGGGAAUAUUGGACAAUGGGCGCAAGCCUGAUCCAGCAAUGCCGCGUGAGUGAUGAAGGCCUUAGGGUCGUAAAGCUCUUUUACCAGGGAUGAUAAUGACAGUACCUGGAGAAUAAGCUCCGGCUAACUCCGUGCCAGCAGCCGCGGUAAUACGGAGGGAGCUAGCGUUGUUCGGAAUUACUGGGCGUAAAGCGUACGUAGGCGGUUAUUCAAGUCAGAGGUGAAAGCCCGGGGCUCAACCCCGGAACGGCCUUUGAAACUAGGUAGCUAGAAUCUUGGAGAGGUCAGUGGAAUUCCGAGUGUAGAGGUGAAAUUCGUAGAUAUUCGGAAGAACACCAGUGGCGAAGGCGACUGACUGGACAAGUAUUGACGCUGAGGUACGAAAGCGUGGGGAGCAAACAGGAUUAGAUACCCUGGUAGUCCACGCCGUAAACGAUGAUAACUAGCUGUUCGGGCACUUGGUGCUUGAGUGGCGCAGCUAACGCAUUAAGUUAUCCGCCUGGGGAGUACGGUCGCAAGNUUAAAACUUAAGAAAGUAUAGCGNGNGAGAGCGACGACGACGACGAGGAGGAG
rnacentral:rRNA from 1 species